rfam:Brevibacterium mcbrellneri ATCC 49030 contig00050, whole genome shotgun sequence.
ACAGGUCGCGGGACGACUACGUGAAAACGAGGAACGUCCGGGCUCCACAGAGCACGGUGGUGGGUAACGCCCACCCGGGGUAACUCGCGGGAAAGUGCCACAGAAAACAGACCGCCACGUAAGUGGUAAGGGUGAAAAGGUGGUGUAAGAGACCACCAGUGUUCCAGGUGACUGGAAUAGCUUGGUAAACCCCACCGGGAGCAAGAUCAGACAGACAGCGCAGGCUGCUCGCUUAGCUGUCGGGUGGAUCGCUUGAGCGCCGUGGCAACACGUCGCCUAGAUAGAUUGUCGUCGCGUGGACGCGGGUAACUGCCCCACGUACAAAACCCGGCGUAUACGCGGCCUGUCCCU